rnacentral:rRNA from 1 species
CCUACGGGAGGCAGCAGUGAGGAAUAUUGGUCAAUGGGCGCGAGCCUGAACCAGCCAAGUAGCGUGAAGGAUGACUGCCCUCCGGGUUUUAACCUUCUUUUAUAAAGGAGUAAAGUGAGGCAUGUGUGCUUUUUUGUAUGUACCUUAUGAAUAACGAUCGGCUAACUCCGUGCCAGCAGCCGCAGUAAUACGGAGGGUUCGAGCGUUUUCCGGAUUUAUUGGGGUUAAAGGGAGCGAAGAAGGGUAGUUAAGUCAGUUGUGAAAGUUUGCGGCUCAACCGGAAAAUUGCAAUUGAUACUGGCAGUCUUGAGUACAGGAGAGGUAGGCGGAAUUCGUGGUGUAGCGGUGAAAUGCUUAGAUAUCACGAAGAACUCCGAUUGCGAAGGCAGCUUACUAGACUGCCACUGACAUUGAUGCGCGAAAGUGUGGGUAUCAAACAGGAUUAGAUACCCCUGUAGUC